rnacentral:rRNA from 1 species
UGGGGAGUGAUGUCAAGUCAGCAUGGCCUUUAUAUCCUCGGGCUACACACACGCUACAAUGGCCAACACAAUAGGUUGCUAAGCCGCGAGGUGGCGCCAAUCCAUAAAGUUGGUCUCAGUUCAGAUUGUAGGCUGCAACCCGCCUGCAUGAAGAUGGAGUUGCUAGUAACCGCAGGUCAGCUAUACUGCGGUGAAUACGUUCCCGGGGCUU